rnacentral:rRNA from 1 species
UGUUGAUCCUGCCAGUAGUCAUAUGCUUGUCUCAAAGAUUAAGCCAUGCAUGUCUAAGUCCAAGCUGUGUUCACACGGCGAGACCGCGGACGGCUCAUUAAAUCAGUCGUGGUCCAAAUGGGCCAGUGCAAAUCCUACUUGGAUAACUGUGGUAAUUCCAGAGCUAAUACAUGCAACUGAUAUCCCGAAGGCGKUGGUUGUGCUUGCUUGUCUUGCGCUCUCACUGCUCCGACGGAUGCUUUUAUUAGACCAAGCCGCUGAGGACUUGAGGGUUCGCUCUCCUGUCUGACUCGUGUGAUGGUGACUCUGGAUAACCAAUUCUGACAAGCGCACGUACUUCUCUUCUGAGCGAGACGGCGCUGCCACUUUCGAGUGUCUGCCUUAUCAGCUAUCAACCGUUCGUUAUGCGCGACCGAUGGCUUUGACGGGUAACGGGGAAUCAGGGUUCGAUUCCGGAGAGGCAGCCUGAGAGACGGCUACCACGUCCAAGGACGGCAGCAGGCACGCAAAUUACCCAAUCCCAGCAAAUGGGGGAGGUAGUGACGAAAUCUAACGAUGCGGGCGCCCUUUCUGGGGCCCCGCAAUCGGAAUGGGCACUUUCUAAACAACCUGUUGAGAACCUACUGAAGGGCAAGUYUGGUGCCAGCAGCCGCGGUAAUUCCAGCUUCAGCAGCAUCUAUUAAAGUUGCUGCGGUUAAAAGGCUCGCAGUUGAAUGUCUGUAUCGAGCGCAGGUCAGGUGGACGUU